UCCCCUUUAUGGGAAAAGAGAGAAGACUAAGGAGAGACUCUGGGGCCUCCUCCCUGACCUUGCUUUUCUGCUGCAGGGGGGCAGGCCCGUGGCCUUGCUGUGGCCCCAAACUCUGGUGUGUGUGUGGGAGAGGCCAGGGUUCCGGAGGCAGCCCCUCUCCCAUCUGUGAGUCCUGAUACUCGCUGCCGCCUCCUCUUCCUCCUCUGUCCCCGGGGUGCUCUGAGGCUCCCAGAGAACCCCGGGGGAGCAGGGAAUAGCCUGUGGACACACAGCUUGGAAGCCUCUGGGACUUGCCCCCCACUCGGUGAUACCUGAGAGCUCCUCAGGGCAGGGCCCCUCUCCAGGGAUGCAGGCCCAUCAGUUCCCGCCUCUGCUGCCUCCAUGGAGGAUUGGCCCCCAAAGCCCAGGAUGCUGAUAGGCAAGAAAGGACUCCUCUUGCCGGGACCAGGGCAGGGGCUGCUCGACAGCCAGUCCAGGAGCAGCCUGCCUCCCCAGCAGCCCUUCCCCCGGCCUUUCCAUGGCACACAUCCCCUCAGCUCUCCCAAAGGCUCCCCACAAAGGAGAGGCUCCCCUAGAGGAUGCCUCCUCUCUGCUGCAAAAUAGAUUAAAAGCUCCAAGACAUCCUGGGACUUGCCUCAGACCCUCCAUUCUUCUUGGGGCUGCCCGUGGCCCAUAGCAUUUCCAGAGCAGAAGGGGUCCCAAGAAGGGGCCUCCCUGCAGCUCACCCAUCCAGCAGUCCCUCGUCUGGCCUUUGCCCAGAGGCCCUUGUGAGCUAGCUCUAAAUGGUGCCCUUUGGGGCCAGCAGAGCCUCUCUGGGACUGGGACCCACCC
rnacentral:lncRNA from 1 species